CACGUAGGGGACGAGCGUUGUCCGGAUUCAUUGGGCGUAAAGCGCGCGUAGGCGGCUCGGAAAGUCGGGCGUGAAAUCCCGGGGCUCAACCCCGGAACUGCCUUUGAUACUGGCAUUCUCGAGUCCGGAAGAGGUGAGUGGAAUUCCGAGUGUAGAGGUGAAAUUCGUAGAUAUUCGGAAGGAACACCAGUGGCGAAGGCGGCUCACUGGUCCGGAACUGACGCUGAGGUGCGAAAGCGUGGGGAG
rnacentral:rRNA from 1 species